CUGCAGUCCAUGGACCCAGUCUUCAGUGUCUUCUGUUGCUGCUUUGGCAGGUGUUUCGGUGUCCCCUCCUUCAGUAAUGGCAAGGGUUGGGUUUGGUGUGGGGUUGGGGUCCAUGGGUGUUAGGUAUUUACUGUGGGUUGGUGUGGCCAUUAGUUUGCCCAAACUGCCAUUCAUUGUGAUGUAGGUGAAAUAGCUGCGCAGGCAGGGGGGGUUUGACGGAGUAAGUGUGAUGGAAAUGUUGGGUGGAUGCAGCUGGGUUACAAUUAAAUAGUGGGAGGUAUUAAUGACCAGGAGUAAAUGACUGUGAUGAAGUGGCGGGAGUUAUUGGCGGCAGUUGUUGGGUCCAAUUUUAGGCGGAAGUUAUUGGCGGGAGUUGUUGGGCAACACGUUUGACUUGGGCUGUGCGUAAUUGGGUAUAUAACUAUUCUUUACCAUUGGUUGGUGGUUGUUGUAUGGGACCCUUAUUGAAUUUGCAAUUUAU
rnacentral:lncRNA from 1 species